rnacentral:rRNA from 1 species
GCGACCACCGAGAUCUACACUCUUUCCCUACACGACGCUCUUCCGAUCUAAUAAAAUAGGCUUCGUGAAGCGAACCCGGCGAACUGAAACAUCUCAGUAGCUGGAGGAAAAGACAUCAACCGAGAUUCCGUUAGUAGUGGCGAGCGAACGCGGACCAGGCCAGUGCCUGAUUGUAAAUUAGCAGAACAUUCUGGAAAGUUUGACCAUAGUGGGUGACAGUCCCGUAUGCGAAAAUGAUCAAUCAGGACUCGAGUAGGGCGGAACACGUGAAAUUCUGUCUGAACAUGGGGGGACCACCCUCCAAGCCUAAAUACUCGUACAUGACCGAUAGCGAACUAGUACCGUGAGGGAAAGGUGAAAAGCACCCCGAUGAGGGGAGUGAAACAGUACCUGAAACGGAUUGCCUACAAGCAGUUGGAGGGCUUUUAUGGCCUGACAGCGUACCUCUUGCAUAAUGGGUCUGUGACUUAAUGUAUCAAGCAAGCUUAAGCCGAUAGGUGUAGGCGCAGCGAAAGCGAGUCUGAAUAGGGCGCCAGAGUUUGAUGUAUUAGACCCGAAACCCGGCGAUCUAGGCAUGACCAGGAUGAAGGUGCAGUAACAUGCACUGGAGGUCCGAACCGAUUAACGUUGAAAAGUUACCGGAUGAGUUGUGUUUAGGGGUGAAAGGCCAAUCAAGCCGGGAAAUAGCUGGUUCUCCGCGAAAACUAUUGAGGUAGUGCCUCGCACGAACACCUUAGGGGGUAGAGCACUGGAUGGGCUAGGGGGUCGCGAGAUCUACCAAACCUAACCAAACUCCGAAUACCUAAGAGUGAUAUGCGGGAGACAGACGGCGGGUGCUAAGGUCCGUCGUCAAAAGGGAAACAGCCCUGACCUACAGCUAAGGCCCCCAAAUCGUAUCUAAGUGGGAAAGCAUGUGGGACUUCCAAAACAACCAGGAGGUUGGCUUAGAAGCAGCCAUCCUUUAAAGAAAGCGUAACAGCUCACUGGUCUAAACAAGAGGUCCUGCGGCGAAGAUGUAACGGGGCUCAAGAUACGUGCCGAAGCUUAGGGUGUGCCACUUAUGUGGUACGCGGUAGCGGAGCGUUCCGUAAGCCUGUGAAGCGAUCUGGUAAUGGGUCGUGGAGGUAUCGGAAGUGCGAAUGCAGACAUGAGUAGCGAUAAAGAGGGUGAGAUGCCCUCUCGCCGAAAGACCAAGGGUUCCUGCGCAAGGCUAAUCCGCGCAGGGUGAGCCGGCCCCUAAGACGAGCCCGAAGGGGGUAGUCGAUGGGAACCACGUUAAUAUUCGUGGGCCUGGUGGUGUGUGACGGAUCAUGUGUGUUGUCAUCCCUUAUCGGAUUGGGAUGGCUUCGAAAUGGUUCCAGGAAAUAGCCCCACCGUAUAGACCGUACCCGAAACCGACACAGGUGGUCAGGUAGAGUAUACCAAGGCGCUUGAGAGAAGUGUCCUGAAGGAACUCGGCAAAUUGCCUCCGUACCUUCGGAAGAAGGAGGCCCUCACUAUGCGCAAGCACUUUGAGGGGGCACAGGCCAGGGGGUAGCGACUGUUUAGCAAAAACACAGGGCUCUGCUAAGUCGGCUUCAAGACGACGUAUAGGGCCUGACGCCUGCCCGGUGCCUGAAGGUUAAGUGGAGGGGUGCAAGCUCUGAAAUGAAGCCCAGGUAAACGGCGGCCGUAACUAUAACGGUCCUAAGGUAGCGAAAUUCCUUGUCGGGUAAGUUCCGACCUGCACGAAUGGCGUAACGACUUCCCCACUGUCUCCAGGACAUGCUCAGCGAAAUUGAAUUCUCCGUGAAGAUGCGGAGUACCCGCGGUUAGACGGAAAGACCCCGUGCACCUUUACUGCAGCUUCAGAGUGGCAUUAGGAAGAAACUGUGUAGCAUAGGUGGGAGGCUUUGAAGCAUCGGCGCCAGCUGAUGUGGAGCCAUAGGUGAAAUACCACCCUGUUUGUUUCUGAUGUCUAACCUCGUUCCGUAAGCCGGAACAGGGACCCUCUGUGGCGGGUAGUUUGACUGGGGCGGUCGCCUCCUAAAGAGUAACGGAGGCGCGCAAUGGUGGGCUCAGGACGGUCGGAAACCGUCUGUUAGAGUGCAAUGGCAUAAGCCCGCCUGACUGCGAGACUGACAAGUCGAGCAGAGACGAAAGUCGGUCAUAGUGAU